AGACCCGAAACCCGGUGAUCUAGCCAUGGGCAGGUUGAAGGUUGGGUAACACUAACUGGAGGACCGAACCGACUAAUGUUGAAAAAUUAGCGGAUGACCUGUGGCUGGGGGUGAAAGGCCAAUCAAACCGGGAGAUAGCUGGUUCUCCCCGAAAGCUAUUUAGGUAGCGCCUCGUGAAUUCAUCUCCGGGGGUAGAGCACUGUUUCGGCUAGGGGGCCAUCCCGGCUUACCAACCCGAUGCAAACUGCGAAUACCGGAGAAUGUUAUCACGGGAGACACACGGCGGGUGCUAACGUCCGUCGUGAAGAGGGAAACAACCCAGACCGCCAGCUAAGGUCCCAAAGUCAUGGUUAAGUGGGAAACGAUGUGGGAAGGCCCAGACAGCCAGGAUGUUGGCUUAGAAGCAGCCAUCAUUUAAAGAAAGCGUAAUAGCUCACUGGUCGAGUCGGCCUGCGCGGAAGAUGUAACGGGGCUAAACCAUGCACCGAAGCUGCGGCAGCGAACGUAUCACUUAAAGCGAUUCAGCGGGUUACGAUUGACGGAGCGAAGCGACGUCAAAGCGUAUACAAAGUCGAGUCGGUUUAAGGAUACGUUCGUUGGGUAGGGGAGCGUUCUGUAAGCCUGCGAAGGUGGCCUGUGAGGGUUGCUGGAGGUAUCAGAAGUGCGAAUGCUGACAUAAGUAACGAUAAAGCGGGUGAAAAGCCCGCUCGCCGGAAGACCAAGGGUUCCUGUCCAACGUUAAUCGGGGCAGGGUGAGUCGACCCCUAAGGCGAGGCCGAAAGGCGUAGUCGAUGGGAAACGGGUUAAUAUUCCCGUACUUGGUGUUACUGCGAAGGGGGGACGGAGAAGGCUAUGUUGGCCGGGCGACGGUUGUCCCGGUUUAAGCGUGUAGGUGUGUGUUCCAGGUAAAUCCGGUUCACUUUAACACUGAGGCGUGACGACGAGGCACUACGGUGCUGAAGCAACAAAUGCCCUGCUUCCAGGAAAAGCCUCUAAGCAUCAGGUAACAUCAAAUCGUACCCCAAACCGACACAGGUGGUCAGGUAGAGAAUACCAAGGCGCUUGAGAGAACUCGGGUGAAGGAACUAGGCAAAAUGGUGCCGUAACUUCGGGAGAAGGCACGCUGACACGUAGGUGAAGUGAUUUACUCACGGAGCUGAAGUCAGUCGAAGAUACCAGCUGGCUGCAACUGUUUAUUAAAAACACAGCACUGUGCAAACACGAAAGUGGACGUAUACGGUGUGACGCCUGCCCGGUGCCGGAAGGUUAAUUGAUGGGGUCAGCGCAAGCGAAGCUCCUGAUCGAAGCCCCGGUAAACGGCGGCCGUAACUAUAACGGUCCUAAGGUAGCGAAAUUCCUUGUCGGGUAAGUUCCGACCUGCACGAAUGGCGUAAUGAUGGCCAGGCUGUCUCCACCCGAGACUCAGUGAAAUUGAACUCGCUGUGAAGAUGCAGUGUACCCGCGGCAAGACGGAAAGACCCCGUGAACCUUUACUAUAGCUUGACACUGAACAUUGAGCCUUGAUGUGUAGGAUAGGUGGGAGGCUUUGAAGUGUGGACGCCAGUCUGCAUGGAGCCGACCUUGAAAUACCACCCUUUAAUGUUUGAUGUUCUAACGUGGACCCGUAAUCCGGGUUGCGGACAGUGUCUGGUGGGUAGUUUGACUGGGGCGGUCUCCUCCUAAAGAGUAACGGAGGAGCACGAAGGUUGGCUAAUCCUGGUCGGACAUCAGGAGGUUAGUGCAAUGGCAUAAGCCAGCUUGACUGCGAGCGUGACGGCGCGAGCAGGUGCGAAAGCAGGUCAUAGUGAUCCGGUGGUUCUGAAUGGAAGGGCCAUCGCUCAACGGAUAAAAGGUACUCCGGGGAUAACAGGCUGAUACCGCCCAAGAGUUCAUAUCGACGGCGGUGUUUGGCACCUCGAUGUCGGCUCAUCACAUCCUGGGGCUGAAGUAGGUCCCAAGGGUAUGGCUGUUCGCCAUUUAAAGUGGUACGCGAGCUGGGUUUAGAACGUCGUGAGACAGUUCGGUCCCUAUCUGCCGUGGGCGCUGGAGAACUGAGGGGGGCUGCUCCUAGUACGAGAGGACCGGAGUGGACGCAUCACUGGUGUUCGGGUUGUCAUGCCAAUGGCACUGCCCGGUAGCUAAAUGCGGAAGAGAUAAGUGCUGAAAGCAUCUAAGCACGAAACUU
rnacentral:rRNA from 1 species